rnacentral:rRNA from 1 species
UGGGGAAUAUUGGACAAUGGGCGAAAGCCUGAUCCAGCCAUGCCUCGUGUGUGAAGAAGUUCUUCGGAUUGUAAAGCACUUUAAGUUGGGAGGAAGGGCAGUAAGCGAAUACCUUGCUGUUUUGACGUUACCGACAGAAUAAGCACCGGCUAACUCUGUGCCAGCAGCCGCGGUAAUACAGAGGGUGCAAGCGUUAAUCGGAAUUACUGGGCGUAAAGCGCGCGUAGGUGGUUCGUUAAGUUGAAUGUGAAAGCCCCGGGCUCAACCUGGGAACUGCAUCCAAAACUGGCGGGCUAGAGUAGGGCAGAGGGUGGUGGAAUUUCCUGUGUAGCGGUGAAAUGCGUAGAUAUAGGAAGGAACACCAGUGGCGAAGGCGACCACCUGGGCUCAUACUGACACUGAGGUGCGAAAGCGUGGGGAGCAAACAGG